GCGUGUGUUUACAAAAUUUCAAUGUGUUGAAAAAUUCUGCAGUGUGAUUAUAAAACUUCGGAAGAACAAGGUUUAAAAUCCCGCUCAAUUACGAUGGAUGAUAAAAACACCUUGUAUCCCCAUUCCUCAACAAUGUUUGCUGCAGUGUCUGCUUGUGUCUUAACUGUCGUUGGAAUUUGCGAAUAAACCGGUAAAUACACCGUCUUAAAUGUAUCCAUGUUGGGGACAGUUCGCAUUUUUCUUAGGUACGCAUUCGUUGUUCUUGGUGUUUUUCUUGUUGUACACACAUCGUAUAAAAAAAAAACAACAAACAAUCACGUUGUUUGUUGCACACACAUCGUAUGAAAAGAAAACAUAAUAAUAGAAGCAAUUUCACCUUCCAUACAGGAGGGAAGGCCGGAUCAGUGAUUAAGGAAUGCAAUACUUUAGAUGAAAAAACGAUACUUAAAAA
rnacentral:sRNA from 1 species